rnacentral:rRNA from 1 species
GACGUAGGGCGCGAGCGUUGUCCGGAUUUAUUGGGCGUAAAGAGCUCGUAGGCGGCUCGUUGCGUCGGCUGUGAAAACCCGCAGCUCAACUGUGGGCUUGCAGCCGAUACGGGCGGGCUGGAGUUCGGUAGGGGAGACUGGAAUUCCUGGUGUAGCGGUGAAAUGCGCAGAUAUCAGGAAGAACACCCGUGGCUAAGGCGGUUCUCUAGUACGGUACUGACGCUGAGACGCGAAAGCGUGGGGAGCGAACAGG